CUAGGGGCACACUGGUAGAGUGCAAUUCCCUCCACUUCUACGGGACUACACCACUAACCCUGAAACAUUAGGAAAUGGUCAGAUUUUUUUAGAUACUUAAAUUCCACUGUACUUCUUUAUAAACAAUGAUUUCUUUCUGUACCUUGUUCCUGAUGUAGGUAAAACAGAUAAGAGUCUUCACAAAGUUCAAAGAGGUACUUAACAAUACUUGGAUUAAGCUAUGGACUUCCAAGGAGACCUGAGAUUUUCUGACUCAUCCCCAAAGGAUGCCUCCUACACUAUAUACAAAAGCAUCUACUAUAUAACACAGAUUAAUAAAAUGCUU
rnacentral:lncRNA from 1 species